rnacentral:rRNA from 1 species
UACAGAGGUCCCGAGCGUUGUUCGGAUUCAUUGGGCGUAAAGGGUGCGUAGGCGGUCUGCUAAGUUUGAUGUGAAAUCCCGGGUCUCAACCCUGGGAUGCCGGUCGAUACUGCCGGACUAGAGUUCGGAAGAGGCGAGUGGAAUUCCCGGUGUAGCGGUGAAAUGCGCAGAUAUCGGGAGGAACACCUAUGGCGAAGGCAGCUCGCUGGGACGUUACUGACGCUGAGACGCGAAAGCGUGGGGAGCAAACAGG